CCUGGGAAGGGGAAGUGGGAUUUAAAGUGUACCUUAUAAACACAACAAAAAUACCAAACCACUGGGAAAUAGGGGUUAAAAUAGAGGGUCCCUAUGGGGAUACCACCUGGAGUUCCAGCUACCCACAACUACCAUAUCAGUGGGACGAGCCUGUUAAGACAGGAACAAUACCCCCCGUUCUUGUGAAAU